AUGCUCGAGAAGGCCAAGCUGCGCAAGAAGAUGAAGAUGGAGGGGAAAAAGCCGACCAAGGUGCCGUCCAAGGUGCCGGAUCUCCUUCUCCCCGAGCUUGAGCUCUUGGAGAUUGCUGCAGAGGGGACUCCGCCACUGCCCCGCGAGGACGCCAUUCAGCUGGGCAGGGCGUGCGGUGUGCCCGAGCUCGACCUCAACUAGAUGCCCACCGCUUGGAAUGUUCGUGGUCUAGGGAGACACAAAAAAUGCACUGAGAUUAAGGCAGGUUUAGUCGCUACUCAGUGCUCGAUUGUCUGUUGCCAAGAAACCAAGCUUACUGAUGUCGACCGUUUUAAGGCCAUGACUUUCCUUCCCCCCAAUCUUAGGGAUUUCGACCUCAUCCCUUCCACCGGUGCCUCUGGUGGGUUACUAACUGCCUGGGAUAGUAACCUUUGGACUUGCUCCUCCGUGGCAAAAAAUCAGUUCUUUCUCUCUUGCACGUUUGAAUCUAAAUCUGACGACCUUUCCUUCACCUUAACCAACGUGUACGGCCCUUGCGACCCGGCUGGCAAACGCGCGUUCUUGGACUUGCUCAUCAAUCUUUCCCCAACUAUAACUGGUCCCUGGGCGAUUAUUGGAGACUUUAACCUUAUCCUUCGCCCCUCAGAUAAAUCCUCGCAAAACUUCAACUCGGUCGAGGCCAUGCUUUUCUCUGAUGUGAUCCACUCCAUGCAUCUCCAGGAUCUACCCCUCCUGGACCGACGCUAUACUUGGUCAAACCAGCAGGACGCGCCCAUUCUUGUUCGUUUAGAUCGCGCGCUUGUUAAUGUGGCCUGGGCCCUGCAAUUCCCGGACAGCGCGCUCACCUCCUCCACCAGAUCCACGUUCGACCACGUCCCAAUUCAACUCUCUGCGGCCACUCAGAUUCCAAAACCCUCGAUCUUCCGGCUCAAUAACGCUCUGCUAACUAAAACCUCCUUUCGGGAGGAGGUGGUAUCAACCUGGGCUAGUGUUGGAUCUCCUCAUCUUGGAAGAGGUUCGGUUGGGAUGCUUGUUCUGCGUCUCAAGCGAAUUUGA
rnacentral:rRNA from 1 species